CACACUCAUCUUUGAUGUUGAGAAGAUGCUGGGACAUCACAUUCCUGAGAAUGAUCUCUACUUGAUUGGAUAUUUUCAGUCAAUAAUUAUGUGACAGGAUGGCUGAUACAGACAUCACGCAGAGAAGGCUGAACCUUUUCAUCUUGGAGUGGGUGAUUGUGAAAAGCAUCUAUGCAAUUAUUCAAAUUGCUUGAGUUACUGUCGGUAGAGAAGGAUUGUGUGAACAGAAGGAAGAGCCUCUGAAACAUCCCCACUGGAACUCUGCAUUGGUCAAACUCUGGAAAACUUAUUGAAAAUAUCCAGGUAGAAUUCACUGGGAGCAAUUGAGAGAUAAUAAUAAACAACAGUAACAAAAAAAUAGAUUCAGAGAAGCACAC